rnacentral:rRNA from 1 species
ACUCAAAUGAAUAGACGGGGGCUCACACAAGCGGUGGAGCAUGUGGCUCAAUUCGAAGCAACGCGAAGAACCUUAUCCUAGGUUUGACAUGCAUGGAUUAGUCCCGAGAAAUCGGGAUGACACUCUCGUAGUGGAACAUGCACAGGUGCUGCAUGGCUGUCGUCAGCUCGUGCUGUGAAGUGUCGGGUUAAGUCCCUUAACGAGCGCAACCCCUGUCGCUAGUUGCCACCAUUUAGUUGGGCACUCUAGCGAGACUGCCGGUGUUAAACCGGAGGAAGGUGGGGAUGACGUCAAGUCCUCAUGGCCUUUAUGCCUAGGGCUGCACACGUGCUACAAUGGCGUAUACAGAACGAUGCAAGACCGCAAGGUGGAGCAAAUCGCCUAAAAUACGCCCCAGUUCGGAUUGAGGGCUGCAAUUCGCCCUCAUGAAGUCGGAAUCGCUAGUAAUCGGGGAUCAGCUACGCCCCGGUGAAUAUGUUCCUGAGCCUUGUACACACCGCCCGU